UACGUAGGGUGCGAGCGUUGUCCGGAAUUACUGGGCGUAAAGAGCUCGUAGGCGGUCUGUCGCGUCGGGAGUGAAAACUCAGGGCUUAACCCUGAGCCUGCUUCCGAUACGGGCAGACUAGAGGUAUGCAGGGGAGAACGGAAUUCCUGGUGUAGCGGUGGAAUGCGCAGAUAUCAGGAGGAACACCGGUGGCGAAGGCGGUUCUCUGGGCAUUACCUGACGCUGAGGAGCGAAAGUGUGGGGAGCGAACAGG
rnacentral:rRNA from 1 species